CCCAGACUCCUACGGGAGGCAGCAGUGGGGGAUAUUGCACAAUGGGGGGAACCCUGAUGCAGCGACGCCGCGUGGGUGAAGGAGCGUUUCGGCGCGUAAAGCCCUAUCGGCAGGGAAGAAGGAGGACGGUACCUGACUAAGAAGCCCCGGCUAACUCCGUGCCAGCAGCCGCGGUAAUACGGAGGAUGCGAGCGUUAUCCGGAUUUAUUGGGUUUAAAGGGUGCGCAGGCGGCGUGUCAAGUCAGCGGUAAAAUGUCGGGGCUCAACCCCGGCCGGCCGUUGAAACUGUCGGACUAGAGACGGCGAGAAGUACGCGGAAUGCGCGGUGUAGCGGUGAAAUGCAUAGAUAUCGCGCAGAACUCCGAUUGCGAAGGCAGCGUACCGGCGCCGGACUGACGCUGAGGCACGAAAGCGUGGGUAUCGAACAGGAUUAGAUACCCCAGUA
rnacentral:rRNA from 1 species